rnacentral:lncRNA from 1 species
AUUUUGCAAAAAACUGGGGACGAAUCCCCACAUUUACUCCGGCGAGGGACUAAAGCCAUAUUUAUGGCAAAGGUUGAGGACCAAAAACUUGAUUAAGCCUAUAAAGUAAAAGGUGUAUUCAGUAUAUGAUGAGUGGAUACCUAUUAUGUUUUGCAAAGAGGUACUACAUGAAAUGAGAAAACAUUGACUAACAGCGAGGUGCAGAGGCUGGUUUUUAGCUACUCCUGUAAAGUGUGGGGUGGGGGUAUGCCUCCUUGAAGUUAAGCCUGACUUUUAUUCAUGUCAUUAUGUACUUGAUGUUGGGAAGAAUACUAGUCAUGCCAUUAAGAAUUAUAACACUGAUAGAUUCACAACAUAAGAAUAUUACGUAGAAAACUCUAAAAUUAGAGAAAAACCCACGACCGUUAUUGAAACUGAUAAUGAGUGAAUAACAUUCUCUUUUUUUCUUUCAAUACAUUGGAAAAUAUUUUGAAUUACAUUUCACAAUACUCUAAUACGAUAGUAUAAGAAAAAAAAAAGUUCCAAGUUUUUCAUGGUGCCCGUGUUUUUAUAACAAAAGAUUUGAGUCUAUAAUAUAGUAUUGGACUUCAUCAUCUUUCAUCAACACUUAUGAGUUGCUCUCAACCCGCAACACUUGAAAGUAUGGUGGCUAAUAUUGGUUUGAAUUGCACUUAUGGUCCAGUGUGAAUUGCAGUUUUAGGUGCAUUUUUUUGUUCACUCUGUGAGCGCGUAUACAUAUACUACGGAUUCUCAACUAACUACACUUGGGGUUGUGUCUCUCUAAUACUUUAUGUUUGUGGGGGUUCUGAUUGUAAUAUGUAAUAGACGGUUGUUUGUGGGGGUUCUAAACUACUCUAGAAUUCAACGCCACAAGUGGGAGUUCAGGCCAAGCUUUAUUUUAUAUCCACAAAAGCUUUUGACGGCUACCUUCGAGGAGGAAAAAGACAUUAGACAUGUCAUUAAAAGUUAGAACAUAAAGGUAGCAAAAUUUAUCUUUCCAGGUUCUGUUCUUCCCCAAAUUUGUACAGAGAUCAUUGGCUUGUCUAUGGCAGCACGGCCCCAGGGUAUUAGAGCGGCCUAUUAGACCUUGAAGGCUUAAGCCUAGACUUUUUCACUAAGUAGGACAAACUAGGCCAGACCAUAAACAUGUCAAGCGAGUGUUAUUAAACUCGAACCGGUGAUUGACUCGAUCAGAGAACUGAGUCAAUGAGUCAGAGGCCGAACCGGUGAGUCAUAGGUUGGACCGGUUAACUUGAAUAUAUAUAUAUAUAUAUAUAUAUAUUAAAUACAUGUGAUAUAUAAUUAUUAAUACUAUAUAUACGUGCUUUAUCAUUAUGCGAAUAGGGUGUCAUCACCGUC